GACACAUGACCAGUCAGGUGGUGAGACCAGUGACAGUUGGGAGAAAGUGUUGGUUGGUGAGAGCUGAGCUGAGGUAAUCUUGAGAGGAGAGCUAUGCCAUCAAGUGUGUGCUGAGGCGGUGUGGGAGUGACGGAGGAGAUGGAGGCAGACCUUCCUCCCACAAGGGUGGUCAGAGAGAUGGCUUUACCCCCAUGCAAGAACGUUAUGCAUUCAGUGACAGUGUUUACGGUUGCUAUGGUGAUUGGGGAGCACAUGGAUGACGUCAUCAUUGACGGACACGCCGCCGGGCGGGUGAUUGUCCCGCUUCCGGAGUGACAGCGUUUCACACCUGGUGAGGUCUCUAUUUAUAAGCUGGCUACACAACUUCUGUGACUACACACCUUGGCCUGAUUGUCCUCCAAACUCAGGAGGUAGUUAGACCCACGAGAAAACUGUCCUUGAGUAAUGGAAUUGUGACAUCCUUUAUCAUCCAGUGUAAGUGGACAUACUGACACACAAGGAUCAUUGUGGGCGGACUGACCCAGGAAAUGUCAAAUCUCAUAGUUGAUGUACUGUAUAUAUUUUUUUAUCAUCUACAUAAAUAAAAAGGAGCUUUAGUUCAUCCCACACAGAAAA